UGACGUUGAGGUUGUGCGCUAGUUUGAGUUGUAAAACGUUAGUGAGUGGUUAUGGCAGAUCCAGAGUGGCACCGAGCAGAGACAAUAGUUUUAAACUCCAACAGUCAGCCGCCUUCGAGUAAGUUAACGUUUUUCAUUGGAGAAGAGGCCAGACUCUGCAAAUGAAAUGGAGUACGAGAGUCUGCUAGGGCCAGGCUAGCAGGGUUUCUCGUAAUGAAGAGUUUCGACUGGUUCCGUUCAGGCAGGGGUCUCAAACUCGCGGCCCGGGGGCCAAUUGAGGCCCACGGGAUGAUAUUUUGUGGCCCCCUACUUGACAUCAAAGUUUAGUGUUAGUGCGGCCCGCGCCCCGAUCAUUAACUUAGAUUGGGUAAGUUGUGGUCCUUUUUUUUGUGGAAUACUUGAUGGGGCCCAGCCUGACCCAGACUCUAUCUCCAGCGGCCCCCAGUUAAGGUGAGUUUGAGACCCCUGCGUUAAGGCGUUUAGCGAUUUUGAAUGUGCUCAGCAACAUUCUAUAGUAUUUGUGCAAUCGAAACAUUCGCAGGUAAGGAACAAGGGGGGAAGGCAGGCGGACGUGUUUCCAGGGGACCCACCUGGCACCCCAGCCUGCAUCCAGGGGCCGAUGUCGGUGCCCUCUCCGUGGGGCUCCAGCCGCGUCGUAUUCAGGGGGGCCAAGAGCUGGACCACCUCCUGCAUCACCUGCCAGCGCGCGCACGCGCACGCACACACACACACACACACACACACACACACACACACACACACACACACACACACACACACACACACACACACACACACACACACACACACACACACACACACACACACACACACACACACACA